UACGUAGGGGGCAAGCGUUGUCCGGAAUCAUUGGGCGUAAAGAGCGUGUAGGCGGCCAGAUAAGUCCGCUGUGAAAACUCGAGGCUCAACUUCGAGCUGUCGGUGGAAACUAUUUGGCUAGAGUCCGGAAGAGGAGAGUGGAAUUCCUGGUGUAGCGGUGAAAUGCGCAGAUAUCAGGAGGAACACCGGUGGCGAAGGCGGGUCUCUGGGCAGUAACUGACGCUGAGGAGCGAAAGCGUGGGGAGCGAACAGG
rnacentral:rRNA from 1 species